CACGCAGGCGGCUAGGCAAGUCUGACGUGAAAGCUCCCGGCUAAACUGGGAGAGGUCGUUGGAAACUGCUUGGCUUGAGGUAAUGAGAGGGGUGCGGAAUUCCCGGUGUAGUGGUGGAAUGCGUAGAUAUCGGGAGGAACACCAGUGGCGAAAGCGGCACCCUAGCAUUGACCUGACGCUCAUGUGCGAAAGCGUGGGGAGCGAACG
rnacentral:rRNA from 1 species